GUUACAGGUUGUUCUGUCGCGGGGGGGCUGUUGCCCCAACGAGGAAAGUCUGGACAACGCAGAGCACCGCACCACCUAACGGGUGGGGGCAGGGCAGCAAUGCCUUAGCUACAGCAAGUGCCACAGAAAAUAACCGCCUUAGCGGCCUUAAAAACCGCUUUGGUAAGGGUGAAAACACAGCUUAAAUAACUGUGCAACAGCAGGGUAAUUUGUUGUUGGGGUAAACCUUGCGGGUUGAAAGACCAAAUACACCGGCUUUAGCUUGCAUUUUGCAGGCUAUAAGUGCUGCUCGUACAAGGCCGGGGGGUAGGUCGUUAGAGGUAUAGCGCGAGUUAUACCGUAGAUAGAUGGCAGAAGCCCAUUUGCGCAAUGGCGUACAGAAUCCGGCUUAUAGGCCUGUAACUUUU
rnacentral:RNase_P_RNA from 2 species